rnacentral:lncRNA from 1 species
UUUCAUGAUGCUUUACGCACUAAAUCAAACUUGUACACCAUAGGGAUCAUCCAAAUCCCAUCAUGUAACUUCUGUGGUCAGAUUGAAUCCCUAGACCAUGCUCUGUGCAGUUGUGGCGUGAGUAAAGAUGUGUGGCAAAAGUCCAAGACAAGUUUUGGAUGUCAGUGAAGGCUUUUGUUUGAUUGGAGGCAGCAGACACAAUAUUGGGGUUGUUUCACAAGUACUCCAUUGAUAAGUUUGCAAGCAUCUGUAUUAUCAAGGGGCAUUUGGAGCAUGCAGAAUCUCUGUUUUCACGAAGAUGGCAUUCAAAAUGCAGCUGCCACUGCUUCUUCUGCCUUAAACUAGGCUGCCAAAUACCAAAAUGGAGGUUAUGGCCCCGUUUGGUAACCAUUUUUUUCAAAAUGCAUUUUUCUCUCUCUUCUUUCCAACCACACAUUCUUUAUUAUAAUAAUAUUACAUGUAAAUCAAAAACUUUUCUCUAUUUUUCAACCAUACAUUUCACAUCAAUUUACUAUUCUAAAAUGUAUUUUUACAUAAAAAAGCCUAUCAAACACCCCCUAUAAAAGGAGUGUUCCAGCAGUGGAAAUUGCCAGAAAAUCAGCAGCAUGGCAGCCUCCUGGUAAUGGAUUGUUUAAACUUAACGUAGUCAAGGCAAUUUACACAGGGAAAGGGCUGAUUGUAUGGGGCGGAGAUUCAGUAACAUUUACAAAACAAAAAUGCUGCUAGUGCUAUGAGUUCGACAGGCUCUUGUCAUUCAGAAAAUGCAGAGAUCUUAGCUCUUCAUGGUCUAGUCUUCAAAUGGCCGAGGAAUUAAAUUUAUAAAUUGAUAUUGUGGAGUGUGAUACACAGAAAUUUUUCCAGAGACUUCACCUAAUGCAAUGUUGCAACAAAUGCUCUUAUCUAUGAGGAUGUUGUAGCUUUACUUCAAGAGGUUAAAUGUGACUUUUGUCAUUUAUUCCCCGAUUGGGGAUAAAGUACCCCCACAAUUUAGCUUCUGUAGCUACCUUGUUAUCUAGCAAUGUCUACUGGCUGGAUUCCUGUCCGUUAUUUAUUUCCUCAAUAGUAUGGGAUGAAUUAUAUCAAUAAUAAUUCCUCUUCUUUUCCAACAAGGAAAAAAAAAAAGUAAAAGAAAACAACACCAAGUACUGCAAAGUACAACAAGACAUUAUGAAAUUAAAGAUCACUUCAAAUUUAACAUUUUACCAACACAAAGAAAAUCUAGUUAAAGUGUUAAACAUUCAUCAAUAAAACAAUCCCAAGUUACCCAACCCAACCAAAGCUUUAAAAAACAGUGCAACUCUAAAUACAUUCGAGUAGCACUUUCUAGGAAUUGGGAUUGAAUCCAAAAGGUUAGCCAUUUAAAUGGAGUAACCAAUCCCUUUUAAUCCCAUUAUCUGCCUUAUGUCCACUGGAUUGUGGGACUUUUUCGCACUUUUACCAUGGCAGUACACAAACUCAUGGAAAAAUCGAUAAAUAAAUAAAUCCAAGAACUUAAAAUAAACAUAGAAAAUUUCAGAAAACAAGGAACCUGUUUCUGAAGACGAAUGAUCUGAAAGUGAAGGGUAACCUCGUUGGAGACUUCAGAGAAGCACGUGACUUGCACACCACCACCAUCUUGAGUAGUAUGCUCUUUCAUAGUCAACUUAUUUACACUUUGUGUUGCAGUUUCAACGCCAUUACCGAAUGCUUCUUUCGACUCAUUAGGAUCCAUUACAAGAUUUUUCUGUUUCUUCACGAAAAAUUUUACUGAAAAAUCACUUGUUCGGGCUCAAACAAUUUGGAAUUUUUCUUCUCUUUCAUCACUUUCUAUGACCAGAAAUUUUCGUGUUUUGUUUAGAUAUCAAAAGGCCAAGCCGCCAAUUUUGGACUUCCG